rnacentral:rRNA from 1 species
CCGAGGGUCGUCAGCCGGAGGGGCGGAGGAGGUUGUAGCGGACCUCUCCUCGAGGAGACACGAAGGCUCGGCGGAGGAGCUCGUCCCGUCGGUCUCCCUUCCCUCAGCGGUGUACCUUGUGUUGACUUUGCGGGGCGGAACCUCGAGCGACGGAGGCCUUUGGAGAGACAGCCGGAGCACGAGGAGGCAGAGCUCGUGGGGGAGGACCGGCGGCAGGUAGAGAACCGCCACGGACAAUCCGUCCGCAACUACGAAUAGGAGCCGAGAGAGAGACAGUCGACAGAGGAAGUCCUGCUCCUCCUACUUACCCCGAGAGCGUCGACCCGGCGACGCCGGCUCAACUGACUCCCGCUCGCGCGCGCAGGCCGCGUAUACCGGGGCGGAGUCGCGGAGGCGAGGACGAGGAGGAGAGCG